UACGUAGGGUGCAAGCGUUAAUCGGAAUUACUGGGCGUAAAGCGUGCGCAGGCGGCUUUGCAAGACAGAUGUGAAAUCCCCGGGCUCAACCUGGGAACUGCAUUUGUGACUGCAUGGCUGGAGUGCGGCAGAGGGGGAUGGAAUCCCGCGUGUAGCAGUGAAAUGCGUAGAGAUGCGGAGGAACACCGAUGGCGAAGGCAGCCCCCUGGGCUGACACUGACGCUCAGGCACGAAAGCGUGGGGAGCAAACAGG
rnacentral:rRNA from 1 species